rnacentral:sRNA from 1 species
AGAAGAAUGGCGGCGAAUUAGUCGGUAUCAAGCAUUCGUUUACUUUCAUUGAGAACGAAGAAGAAGAAGAAUCUGAUAACAAGAACGGCGAUGA